rnacentral:misc_RNA from 1 species
GAUGAAGAACGUAGCGAAAUGCGAUAAGUAAUGUGAAUUGCAGAAUUCAGUGAAUCAUCGAAUCUUUGAACGCACAUUGCGCCCGCCAGUAUUCUGGCGGGCAUGCCUGUCCGAGCGUCAUUUCAACCCUCGAACCCCUCCGGGGGGUCGGCGUUGGGGAUCGGCCCUUUCACCGGGUGCCGUCCCCCAAAUACAGUGGCGGUCUCGCCGCAGCCUCUCAUGCGCAGUAGUUUGCACACUCGCACCGGGAGCGCGGCGCGUCCACGUCCGUAAAACACCCCAAACUUCUGAAAUGUUGACCUCGGAUCAGGUAGGAAUACCCGCUGAACUUAAGCAUAUCAACAAGCGGAGGA